AGGAGAGUUUGAUCCUGGCUCAGGAUGAACGCUGGCGGCGUGCUUAACACAUGCAAGUCGAACGAAGCAACUUAUUACGAUCCCUUCGGGGUGACGAUUUGUUGACUGAGUGGCGGACGGGUGAGUAACGCGUGGGUAACCUGCCUUGUACAGGGGGACAACAGUUGGAAACGACUGCUAAUACCGCAUAAGCGCACAGCUUCGCAUGAAGCAGUGUGAAAAGUUAUUUCGGUACAAGAUGGACCCGCGUCUGAUUAGCUAGUUGGUGAGGUAACGGCCCACCAAGGCGACGAUCAGUAGCCGACCUGAGAGGGUGACCGGCCACAUUGGGACUGAGACACGGCCCAAACUCCUACGGGAGGCAGCAGUGGGGAAUAUUGCACAAUGGGCGAAAGCCUGAUGCAGCGACGCCGCGUGAGCGAAGAAGUAUUUCGGUAUGUAAAGCUCUAUCAGCAGGGAAGAUAAUGACGGUACCUGACUAAGAAGCACCGGCUAAAUACGUGCCAGCAGCCGCGGUAAUACGUAUGGUGCAAGCGUUAUCCGGAUUUACUGGGUGUAAAGGGAGCGUAGGCGGUUUUACAAGUCUGAUGUGAAAGCCCGGGGCUCAACUCCGGUAUUGCAUUGGAAACUGUAGAACUAGAGUGUCGGAGGGGUAAGCGGAAUUCCUAGUGUAGCGGUGAAAUGCGUAGAUAUUAGGAGGAACAUCGGUGGCGAAGGCGGCUUACUGGACAGCAACUGACGUUGAGGCUCGAAGGCGUGGGGAGCAAACAGGAUUAGAUACCCUGGUAGUCCCCU
rnacentral:rRNA from 1 species